UAAUACGAAGGUGGCAAGCGUUAUUCGGAUUUACUGGGCGUACAGGGAGCGUAGGCGGUUCGGUAAGCCCUCUGUGAAAUCUCCAGGCUUAACCUGGAAAAGUCGGAGGGGACUGCUGGGCUAGAGGACGGGAGAGGAGCGCGGAAUUCCCGGUGUAGCGGUGAAAUGCGUAGAGAUCGGGAGGAAGGCCGGUGGCGAAGGCGGCGCUCUGGAACGUUUCUGACGCUGAGGCUCGAAAGCGUGGGGAGCAAACAGGAUUAGAUACCCUGGUAGUCCACGCCUUAAACUAUGAAUACUAAGUGUCGGCGGUUUACCGCCGGUGCCGCAGCUAACGCAUUAAGUAUUCCGCCUGGGAAGUACGGCCGCAAGGUUGAAACUUAAAGGAAUUGACGG
rnacentral:rRNA from 1 species